rnacentral:rRNA from 1 species
CCCUUUUUUUUACAAACAUGUCUUAAUGUAUUUAUAUUUAUUAAGUCUAACCUGCUCAAUGACUUCUAUUUAUAGGGUUAAAUAGCCGCAGUAUUUUGACUGUGCGAAGGUAGCAUAAUCAUUUGUCUUUUAAUUGAAGGCUUGUAUGAAUGGUUGGAUGAGGGAGUAACUUUCUUUACAUUAAUAGGUUGAAUUUAAUUUUUCAGUCAAAAAGCUGAAAUUUAUAAAUGGGACGAGAAGACCCUAUAGAAUUUUACUUUAAUUGCUAUAAAUAUUUUUUCUGAUAAUUUAAAUAUUUAAAUGCGGAGGAGUUUUGUUGGGGUGACAAUGAGAUUUAUCUAACUCUCAUAUAUUUUAUUUUAUUUAUUUAUAUAUUUUAGAUCCUAUUUUAAGGAUAAUUAGAUUAAAUUACCUUAGGGAUAACAGCGUAAUUUUUUUGAAGAGUUCUUAUCGAUAAAAAAGUUUGCGACCUCGAUGUUGGAUUAAAAUUAGAUUUAAGUGCAGCAGCUUAAUUUCUAGGUCUGUUCGACCUUUAAAAUUUUACAUGACGGGUUUCC